rnacentral:lncRNA from 1 species
GCUCCAAGCCCAGCUCUAGAAGCAUCAGGGAUCUUCUUGGGCAAGAAGACACAGAGCCAGAAAGCCACAUUCCUGCCAGCCUCCUCGGGUCCUGGCUCCAGGCCUGGCAAGCCCACUCUCAGAAGGCGGUGGUGCAAUGAUGACAGGAGAGCUCAUUACAGCCGUCAUCCUGCCAGGAUAAGAACACGGGCUUGUCUGUCCAGCACAGCUCACCUGAGUCAUCCAGCCUGUAACCUGUAGCCACCUGGGCUUGGAGCUGGACCAGCAGGCUGCCAGGAGUCUGGAACACCUCCUGCGUGCUGCCCUGGUCUCAGCUUUUCGUGGAUCCGGGGCUUGGCUUGUACGUCCGCCCCCAGGAUUGGAAGGUCAGGGCUCUACAGCCUCAAGUCUAUGGAGGGUGUGUACUUAUCCUGUGGGCAGAGCUGUGUGUGCAGCCCCGAUUGGCUUCAGGGCUGAGAUUUUACAAGGUGGGUAUCUGAGAAUUCUUUAUGGUCUUUGCUUACCCUUCAUUCAACAAAGAUGACAAUCAGGAUUUGGGUCUGAGCUCGCAGAGAGGAGAAGACUGAUAAAGGAGCAUAUCUGGGGGAAAGUCAGGGUUGUUGUUGUUGUUGCCACAUCCCAUGGCAUGUGGGAUCUGAAUUCCCCAAACAGGAAUUGAACCCAUGCCCCCAGCAGUGAAAGACUGGAA